UUUCUUUUCAUACAUAACAUCUCACUAAAAAACCACAAAGAGGUGCUCUAAACACACAGUAGCUGUUGAGAGCAACUCUAGCAAGAACAGAUAGAACUGCUGCAAGCUCGCCUCAAGCUUCUUGACUUGAAUAUACAAAGAUAAACAUAUAUACAAGUCUUCACACAAUCAGGAGUGAAAAAAUAAAUUUCCCUCAAGAUCUAAUUUCUAAAUCUUCCUUUAAUCCAAUCGAAAUUAGUUUUGUAAUCCCAGAUGCUUGCUAAUUGAAGGUUCUUUAAAGGCUCUCUGACUGUAGAAAGCUUAGGCUACAUAGCCUGAAGUUGCAUUAAGCACAGUCUCAUCAGCAUUCAGCACCACUACUAUAGUGUAAAGCCUGGAAGAAGUGGAAAAAAUUACCUACUGAAACAUAAGAAGAUGAAAAGAGGCCAGCAAGAAGAAAGAAAAGCUGCUCAUUUCUCUUCUGAAGGUUCUUUUUCUAAUGGAUCCCCCUCCCAAGCAAUGUUGCGAAUGGCAGGUGAUGUGUUCUGCAAAUAGAUCAGCAAUGUCACUUCUAAAAUUGCACUUUUUGGCAUUCAGGUGUUGAAGCCAGUCAGCUGGUAGCCAGGUUUUAUCCAAGGCUGUAUUACAGAAAAAGAGUGUAUGUUAGAUCAUCUAGCAGCAAUUACAGUAAAACACCUCUGGCUUGAGACAGAAUCACUGUUACUGUUGCUUCCUGCAGUGAAUUCUGUCACUAUCAUAUUUGCUUCCUUUUUCACUCCCAGAUGUCAGAUAUACUUGGCUAAGAUUAUUUCACUGGGUUGAAUUAGUUCCACAACUUCUUCAGACACUGAAAUGACUGCUAUCUCUCCAACCAUUCUCAAACAUUGAGAUCUCAGUGAAAAAUUACAAAUAUAUAUAUCAGAUUAUAUUUUAAAAGGUACUGAAAUGUCAUUAAAUAAAUUAUGAGAUAUCCAUUGUUAGACUUACCCUAGUCACAAAUGGAAUAUUUUUCUUCUUUCCUUUUAUUCCCUUUGCUAUAAUAAUCCCUGCAGCAAGUUGUAAAUGCAACGAAUACCCCUGCUAUGAUGGAGAGAA